rnacentral:lncRNA from 1 species
CAGAUUUAUGCAAGAAGUGAUGUAAUAUUAAGAAAAACAAAGGGUGUUGCAAGAAGUGUUCUUCCUUCGAACAAUACACAGUUGUUGACCAAUGAUCAUGAAGAAAAAGCUGUCAAUCAGGAAAAUAAUGCAGACCUUACAGACAUAUGAUGGUGUCACAGCAAAAGAACCAAUAGAAACACAUGACCAAGCAGAACUUAAAGGUAGAGACAUGGAUGAGGAAUCCAGUGCACAAAAUUUCCUUAAUGUUUCCAAGCAUGGGGAUCUGUCACCAAGGAAUAUUGAACCUGUAAAAUCUGCAACAAAAGGAAAAAAGAAAUUGUCAAAAGAGAGUUCUAUUGUACAUGUCAGUGGAGUACAAACAAGGAGUACACUGUCCAAACCCAAAAACAUUUAAUGGAUGCCAUUAUAUGGAAUGUGAGGUCGGUAAACAAAAUGCAAGCAUUUGAAAGGCUGAUUACAAUGCAAAGAAAACAUCACUUUCAGUUCAUAGGAAUCAUUGAGCCUAUGCAGCAGUCUCACAAAAUUGAAUACAUUGCAUAAAAAAUAUCACUUUCAGUUCAUAGGAAUCAUUGAGUCUAUGCAACAGUCUCACAAAAUUAAGAGGUAUAGAGCAAGAAUUGGUCUGCUUCAAGCUGUGGUGAAUGUGUCAAACAAGAUUUGGGCUUUUAUUGAUGAAAUUUAUGUAGUUACUAUUCUGUUCAACAUGACUCAAGAGCUGACUUUGAGGUUGAUGCACACUGAAACUCAUGCUGAGCUCAUCCUUACGCUAGUCUAUGCCAAAUGCGAUCGCAUUGAAACAAUUGACCUUUGGGAUUCUUUGUACGGAAUGGCUUCAGAUAUGACAGUACCAUGGCUAGUUAGAAGUGACUUUAAUGUCAUAUGGGAUGAGGAAGAGAAGUAUGGAGGCUUUCCGGUUUCUAUCCUUGAAGUAGAUGACUUUAGACACUGCAUAAAUACCUGCAAUUUGACAGAUUUGGGAUUUAAUGGAAGCUUAUUUACAUGGUGGAAUGGAAUAGCAGAGGAGGACUAUAUAUUCAAAAGAUUGGAUAGAUGUUUAGGCAAUGACGAAUUGCAACUGACCUUUCGUGGAUUGGAGGUAAUUCACCAGUCCAAAAUUGGCUCUGAUCAUUGCCCGAUACUGCUGAAAUGUGACAUAAAAACUCCCCCAAUUAAGAAGUCGUUCAGAUUUUUAACUUCUGGACAAAGCAUGAAACUUUCAAAGAUGUAGUGAAGGAGAAU